CAGGAUGAACGCUAGCUACAGGCUUAACACAUGCAAGUCGAGGGGCAGCAUUUCAGUUUGCUUGCAAACUGGAGAUGGCGACCGGCGCACGGGUGAGUAACACGUAUCCAACCUGCCGAUAACUCCGGGAUAGCCUUUCGAAAGAAAGAUUAAUACCGGAUGGCAUAUGAUUAUCGCAUGAUAAUCCUAUUAAAGAAUUUCGGUUAUCGAUGGGGAUGCGUUCCAUUAGUUUGUUGGCGGGGUAACGGCCCACCAAGACUUCGAUGGAUAGGGGUUCUGAGAGGAAGGUCCCCCACAUUGGAACUGAGACACGGUCCAAACUCCUACGGGAGGCAGCAGUGAGGAAUAUUGGUCAAUGGGCGAUGGCCUGAACCAGCCAAGUAGCGUGAAGGAUGACUGCCCUAUGGGUUGUAAACUUCUUUUAUAAAGGAAUAAAGUCGGGUAUGCAUACCCGUUUGCAUGUACUUUAUGAAUAAGGAUCGGCUAACUCCGUGCCAGCAGCCGCGGUAAUACGGAGGAUCCGAGCGUUAUCCGGAUUUAUUGGGUUUAAAGGGAGCGUAGAUGGAUGUUUAAGUCAGUUGUGAAAGUUUGCGGCUCAACCGUAAAAUUGCAGUUGAUACUGGAUGUCUUGAGUGCAGUUGAGGCAGGCGGAAUUCGUGGUGUAGCGGUGAAAUGCUUAGAUAUCACGAAGAACUCCGAUUGCGAAGGCAGCCUGCUAAGCUGCAACUGACAUUGAGGCUCGAAAGUGUGGGUAUCAAACAGGAUUAGAUACCCUGGUAGUCCACACGGUAAACGAUGAAUACUCGCUGUUUGCGAUAUACGGCAAGCGGCCAAGCGAAAGCGUUAAGUAUUCCACCUGGGGAGUACGCCGGCAACGGUGAAACUCAAAGGAAUUGACGGGGGCCCGCACAAGCGGAGGAACAUGUGGUUUAAUUCGAUGAUACGCGAGGAACCUUACCCGGGCUUGAACUGCAGGAGAACGAAUCAGAGAUGAUGAGGCCCUUCGGGGCUCCUGUGGAGGUGCUGCAUGGUUGUCGUCAGCUCGUGCCGUGAGGUGUCGGCUUAAGUGCCAUAACGAGCGCAACCCCUGUUGCCAGUUGCCAUCGGGUAGAGCCGGGCACUCUGGUGAGGCUGCCGCCGCAAGGCGUGAGGAAGGUGGGGAUGACGUCAAAUCAGCACGGCCCUUACGUCCGGGGCUACACACGUGUUACAAUGGGGCAUACAGCGAGUUGGUGUUACGCAAGUAAUAUCGGAUCAAAAAAGUGUCCCUCAGUUCGGACUGGGGUCUGCAACCCGACCCCACGAAGCUG
rnacentral:rRNA from 1 species